GCUCUAACCUGCGGGAAAGAUGGGUGCCUCCCUAACAGUGCUCAGAGCCCAGGAGGUAGCAAUGGCAGCCACAUCUGUGCCUUUGUUGGCCACCAGAGAAGUUGUUGUGAUGAUCCUGCCCCCUCAAAAGAGAGAGCUA